GUAGGUCCCGAGCGUUGUCCGGAUUUAUUGGGCGUAAAGCGAGCGCAGGCGGUUAGAUAAGUCUGAAGUUAAAGGCUGUGGCUUAACCGUAGUACGCUUUGGAAACUGUUUAACUUGAGUGCAAGAGGGGAGAGUGGAAUUCCAUGUGUAGCGGUGAAAUGCGUAGAUAUAUGGAGGAACACCGGUGGCGAAAGCGGCUCUCUGGCUUGUAACUGACGCUGAGGCUCGAAAGCGUGGGGAGCAAACAGGGAUUAGAUACCCUGGUAGUCCACGCCGUAAACGAUGAGUGCUAGGUGUUAGACCCCUUUCCGGGGGUUUAGUGCCGCAGCUAACGCAUUAAGCACUCCGCCUGGGGAGUACGACCGCAAGGUUG
rnacentral:rRNA from 1 species